UUGGAAGGGCGGAGGAUCGCUUCCGGUGUUGAUUCGCCGGGGGAGGAAAGUCCGAACACCGCAGGGCGCGAUGCCGCGUAACCCGAGGACCACCCCGGGAUACACGCGGGCGGCAAUUUCGAAAGAGAUCGUCGACGGAAAGUGCCACAGAAAANAAACCGCCGCGGCUCCGGCCGGGGUAAGGGUGAAAAGGUGGGGUAAGAGCCCACCGCGCCGAGCGUAAGCGAGGCGGCACGGAAAACCCCAUCGGGUGCAAGACCAAAUAGGGGGCCAUGGGACGGCCCGUCCCGCGAUCGGAAACGAUCCCGGCCCCGGGUUAGGUCGCAACAGAUAAAUGAUCCUCUCCGCGGGCAACCGCGCAGACAAAAUUCGGCUUACAGCCCUUCCUCGGUC
rnacentral:RNase_P_RNA from 1 species